ACGGCUCAGUAACACGUGGACAAUCUACCCUAAGGUGGGGGAUAACCCCGGGAAACUGGGGAUAAUACCCCAUAGACUAUAGAUGCUGGAAUGCUUUGUAGUUGAAAGGUCAGCCGCCAUAGGAUGGGUCUGCGGCCGAUUAGGUAGUUGUUGGGGUAACGGCCCAACAAGCCUGUAAUCGGUACGGGUUGUGGGAGCAAGAGCCCGGAGAUGGAUUCUGAGACACGAAUCCAGGCCCUACGGGGCGCAGCAGGCGCGAAAACUUUACAAUGCGGGAAACCGUGAUAAGGGAACUCCGAGUGCCCGUUAAAUCGGGCUGUCCACCAGUUUAAAAAACUGGUGAAGAAAGGGCCGGGCAAGACCGGUGCCAGCCGCCGCGGUAAUACCGGCGGCUCGAGUGGUGGCCACUAUUACUGGGCUUAAAGCGUUCGUAGCUGGUUUGUUAAGUCUCUGGGGAAAUCUUCCGGCUUAACCGGAAGGCGUCUCAGGGAUACUGGCAGACUAGGGACCGGAAGAGGUGAGGGGUACUCCAGGGGUAGGAGUGAAAUCCUGUAAUCCUUGGGGGACCACCUGUGGCGAAGGCGCCUCACCAGGACGGCUCCGACAGUGAGGGACGAAAGCUGGGGGAGCAAACCGGAUUAGAUACCCGGGUAGUCCCAGCCGUAAACGAUGUGCGUUAGGUGUAUCGGUGACCACGAGUCACCGAGGUGCCGAAGAGAAAUCGUGAAACGUACCGCCUGGGAAGUACGGUCGCAAGGCUGAAACUUAAAGGAAUUGGCGGGGGAGCAC
rnacentral:rRNA from 1 species